rnacentral:miRNA from 1 species
AGGGCCCUUUAUGACCCU